rnacentral:rRNA from 1 species
AUUGAACGCUGGCGGCAGGCCUAACACAUGCAAGUCGAACGAGUGGCGGACGGGUGAGUAAUGUCUGGGAAACUGCCUGAUGGAGGGGGAUAACUACUGGAAACGGUAGCUAAUACCGCAUACCAUCGGAUGUGCCCAGAUGGGAUUAGCUAGUAGGUGGGGUAAAGGAUCAACUAGGCGACGAUCCCUAGCUGGUCUGAGAGGAUGACCAGCAACAAUGGAACUGAGACACGGUACAGAAGCCGACGGGAGGAAGCAGUGGGGAAUAGUGCACAAGGGGAGAAAGCCUGAUGCAGACAUGACGCGUGUAUGAAGAAGGCCGUCGGGUUGGAAAGUACUUUCAGCGGGGAGGCGGGACCCGCAGAAGAAGCACCGGCUAACUCCGUGCCAGACGCCGCGGUAAUUC